AGCUUUGUGUAGUGGCAGUGUUGUAGCCAAUCAGGUUUAUCUGAAGUGCGAUUAUUGCUAAUUGAAAACUUUUCCCAAUACCCCCCACCAUGACCAGACUUGCAAUAUAGUCAGCAAUGGCAAUUUUUGACAGUCCCUAUGGGGA